AUGAUUGUGAAAUCCAGAGAAAUAUGGGAAGACUUAUAUGAACUGAUGCAGAAGGAAAUAAGCAGACUAGAAAACUAUUUCUACAAAAACAGGAAAAGAUCAUUAAGAGGACCACUAUGAAUAAGAAAAAAAAAAACUAAUAAUGAUCUCAGUGAACAUAUAAAGAGACAAUUAUCCUUCCUUUUGGCAAAUGUGUCACCCAUCCAUCAACAACUUUCCUUUGAUCUGGCCUUUCCUCAUGAAGAUUAGUGAUUUAAUGGUGUCACUUCUGAGAAUUUCCAUUAUACAACAUUGUGUACAUGGCAAUGAAGACUACAUUCUUUGUGCUUUUCAAUCCUCAUUAUAUCCUUCCUAUAUGUAAUAUUAUGUCAUAUCUAAAUAAACUUGCUGAAGUUUGUAUUCUUAAUAUUAA